UACGUAGGGCGCAAGCGUUGUCCGGAAUUAUUGGGCGUAAAGAGCUCGUAGGCGGUUUGUUACGUCUGCUGUGAAAACCUAGGGCUUAACCCUGGGCCUGCAGUGGAUACGGGCAGACUAGAGGUAGGUAGGGGAGAAUGGAAUUCCCGGUGUAGCGGUGAAAUGCGCAGAUAUCGGGAGGAACACCGGUGGCGAAGGCGGUUCUCUGGGCCUGACCUGACACUGAGGAGCGAAAGCGUGGGGAGCGAACAGG
rnacentral:rRNA from 1 species